AUGGCUCAGGAUGAACGCUAGCUACGGGCUUAACACAUGCAAGUCGAGGGGCAGCAUGUUGGUGCUUGCAACCAAUGAUGGCGACCGGCGCACGGGUGAGUAACGCGUAUCCAACCUUCCCCUUAGUAGAGGAUAGCCCGGCGAAAGUCGGAUUAAUACUCUAUGUUCUUCAAUGCGGACAUCUAAGUUGAAGCAAAGAUUUAUCGCUAAGGGAUGGGGAUGCGUCUGAUUAGGUUGCAGGCGGGGUAACGGCCCACCUGGCCUACGAUCAGUAGGGGUUCUGAGAGGAAGGUCCCCCACACUGGUACUGAGACACGGACCAGACUCCUACGGGAGGCAGCAGUGAGGGAUAUUGGUCAAUGGGCGCGAGCCUGAACCAGCCAAGUAGCGUGCAGGGAACCGACUGCCCUAUGGGUUGUAAACUGCUUUUAUCAGGGAAUAAAGUGAGGCACGCGUGCCUUUUUGUAUGUACCUGAUGAAUAAGGACCGGCUAAUUCCGUGCCAGCAGCUGC
rnacentral:rRNA from 1 species